GGUCCUUUAAAAGCAAGCCACUGGCUGCUUGUAGCGAGGGGCCUUUGAUUGUGGCUGAUUUGCCAGUUUGGGUAGCGUCGUUGCUGUCCUUCAACCGCUCAGGAAUGGAGAACCGCUGCACUUCAUAGUGGCAAUCGCAUGAAGUAGCCUAGAGUAGUGUCUGCUACUGGCGGUGUGGCUCUGGAGCAGGAUGAAGUUGAUUUGGACCAAGAACCUUGUGACUUCACUGCUUGGUUGACUUUUGGCAUUGGGCUGACUUUGCUGUUCUCCCUACUGCUGGUGGAGUUUGGGAUGUGGCAUUGCUGCUUGUGGUGGCGAUCUACAAAGCCUGGGGCUGACGGCUGAUGACCGGUUGCUGCUUUGUUUCCACUGAGUUUCCUGACAGAAGAGGAGAUGCGUGUGCAUGUGCAUGUGGACUGAGUGUUGAGUGGGGACGGUGGGCCUAACGCCCAGCUGUGAUGUAUGUGUGCCUCCAAACAGUGGCGCACAAUGAACUUCUGAACUGUGGGUGAGGGUGUGGAUGGUUUUCAUUUUUGUUUGUUUUGUUGUCUGUUCGAUGUGAAUCAGACCAUUUAUUCUGUGGUUUGUUUGUUUGUUUUGUUUUAUACAUACCGCACUUUUCCCCCAUCCAACCAGUGCCUGGACUAGCCCACUUUCCCUAGAGACUUGGUUUGCUGUGUUGUAGUUGUAGGGUGCCCUUUUGGCAUCAAAGUGUGUUUAUUGCAGUGUGAAUUAUAUGUGCAUCUUGUGUUUUAUACCAACUGUAACUUAAUGUUUGCAUGCCUUUUAAUUAUAUAAGGGGUGUGGAAUAUCCAGUGGCCUUGGGGAUAAUGGAACUAACGUGGCAUGUGUAAAUACCCCCUGUCUGUUUUAGUCUGCCCACACUCAAGGCUCUCGCUACCCGUGACUUGGGUGUUUGUCUUCUCAAGACCUUGAGUUUUACGGAAGAAAAAGAAUAUUUAAAUAAAAGAAUUAAGUGUG